rnacentral:tRNA from 2 species
GGUGGAGUGGGAGAGUGGCUGAAUCCACCAGUUUGCUAAACUGACGUACUGGCAACGGUACCGCGGGUUCGAAUCCCGCCUCCACCG